rnacentral:lncRNA from 1 species
UGGGAAAGCUGGAUUAAGAUUUAUGAGCCUCUCAAAGCUCUGUUCCAUGGUUCUACCUCUCACCUGCUAAGACCUGACGCAUUGUUUUGAAAGGACUCGAUUUUGCAGCAUGGAAUCAACUGUGCUGUGCGGUGGCACAAAUGUUAUUUGCCUCUUCUUCAGCCAGCAGGAAAUCCCUGGAGAGGGUGCUUGUUCUCCAUGUCUCAUCGACUCUGGUAAACUUUCUCACUUCACAAAGAGAACAUAAGGUAUGGCAAAUUCAUUCAGUGCUAAUCAUGAGCUGAGCAUUUUGAUGUUUCACUUCCUUCCCUAAGACAAAGUUAGAGGUGCCAGGAAUAUUGAGUUGUGACUUGUGAAUCUUCUUGCUGAUCCAAACAUACACAGGAGACCAAAAAAAAUAUUCAGGGCCCAUAUAAAAAGCUGGUGUUAGAUACUGAAUUGCAGUAUAUUCAGGCGCAUGGAAUCUUUAAACCUUGUUUUUCUUGUAUUUGUAGUUGG